rnacentral:lncRNA from 1 species
UAGGGUUCACCACAUAUAUUACACGCACAUCCUCCCUCUCUGAUACCCGUUAAAUAGGUUUCUCGUCUUUUAAGGUCCUCAUGUUACUGUUUUACCAAUCAAAUUCUUUAUUCUAAUACACAUGCAAGCACAACUUAAAUAGUUACAUGUUCAAACUCACAACAAGUGUACUUGUUCGUAUAUCAAACACACUCACAAAAUCUAUUAGUAA